CGUAGGGUCCGUACUCCUCCACCCCGUUUUGUCAGACGCAAGGAUGAUGCUCCCAAGCCUGGACAACCAGGACAGGCCCCUCGUCCAGCUGGUCCUGGAGCUGGUGCUGCACCUCGUGUCUGAAGUCUGCAAGCAGCGCUCUCUCUUGUUUUCUUAUAUGUUCUAAGUUGUUGCGUUUUUAAGGAUGUUUUUCUCUGGUUCAAGUUAUAUCACUAUGUGGAUCGUGAAUCCUGUCAAACUAUUUCAGUAGUUGAUUCAACUUUUUUUUUGGCACCUCUAUAUCCCCAGUUUUGCAAUCUGCUUUUCUGGUUUAACUU